GAUGAACGCUGGCGGCGUGCCUAAUACAUGCAAGUCGAGCGAAGCGGGGACGGGUGAGUAACACGUGGAGAACCUCCUAUAAGACUGGGAUAACUUCGGGAAACCGGAGCUAAACCGGAAACUUAUAGAUGGAUCCGAGCUGCAUUAGCUAGUUGGUAAGGUAACGGCUUACCAAGGCAACGAUGCAUAGCCGACCUGGGAGGGUGGUCGUCCACACUGGAACUUAUACACGGGCCAUAUUCCUACGGGAGGCAGCAGUAGGGAAUCUUCCGCAAUGGCCUAAAGUCGUACGGAGCAACGUCGCGUUAGGUAUGACGGCCUUCGGGUUGUAAAGCUCUGUUAAUCGGGACGCGUUACCGGAAUAGAUAGCCACGGCUAACUACGUGCCAGCAGCCGCGGUAAUUC
rnacentral:rRNA from 1 species